rnacentral:tRNA from 1 species
UGAAUAUAAGCUCUGCUUGAGCUUUUGGUUGUUAACCAUACAGGAAUAAAUAAAUUUAUAUAUUCAG